rnacentral:rRNA from 1 species
UGGGGAAUUUUGGACAAUGGGCGAAAGCCUGAUCCAGCAAUGCCGCGUGUGUGAAGAAGGCCUUCGGGUUGUAAAGCACUUUUGUCCGGAAAGAAAUCCUUGGCUCUAAUACAGUCGGGGGAUGACGGUACCGGAAGAAUAAGCACCGGCUAACUACGUGCCAGCAGCCGCGGUAAUACGUAGGGUGCAAGCGUUAAUCGGAAUUACUGGGCGUAAAGCGUGCGCAGGCGGUUUGCUAAGACCGAUGUGAAAUCCCCGGGCUCAACCUGGGAACUGCAUUGGUGACUGGCAGGCUAGAGUAUGGCAGAGGGGGGUAGAAUUCCACGUGUAGCAGUGAAAUGCGUAGAGAUGUGGAGGAAUACCGAUGGCGAAGGCAGCCCCCUGGGCCAAUACUGACGCUCAUGCACGAAAGCGUGGGGAGCAAACAGGAUUAGAUACCUUGGUAGUCCACGCCCUAAACGAUGUCAACUAGUUGUUGGGGAUUCAUUUCCUUAGUAACGUAGCUAACGCGUGAAGUUGACCGCCUGGGGAGUACGGUCGCAAGAUUAAAACUUAAAGGAAUUGACGGGGUCAUAGCUGUUUCCU